GCCGCGUGAGGGAUGACGGCCUUCGGGUUGUAAACCUCUUUCAGUAGGGAAGAAGCGAAAGUGACGGUACCUGCAGAAGAAGCGCCGGCUAACUACGUGCCAGCAGCCGCGGUAAUACGUAGGGCGCAAGCGUUAUCCGGAUUUAUUGGGCGUAAAGAGCUCGUAGGCGGUUUGUCGCGUCUGCCGUGAAAGUCCGAGGCUCAACCUCGGAUCUGCGGUGGGUACGGGCAGACUAGAGUGAUGUAGGGGAGACUGGAAUUCCUGGUGUAGCGGUGAAAUGCGCAGAUAUCAGGAGGAACACCGAUGGCGAAGGCAGGUCUCUGGGCAUUUACUGACGCUGAGGAGCGAAAGCAUGGGGAGCGAACAGGAUUAGAUACCCUGGUAGUCCAUGCCGUAAACGUUGGGCACUAGGUGUGGGGGACAUUCCACGUUUUCCGCGCCGUAUCUAACGCAUUAAGUGCCCCGCCUGGGGAGUACGGCCGCAAGGCUAAAACUCAAAGGAAUUGACGGGGGCCCGCACAAGCGGCGGAGCAUGCGGAUUAAUUCGAUGCAACGCGAAGAACCUUACCAAGGCUUGACAUGUGCCAGACCGCUUCAGAGAUGGAGUUUCCCUUCGGGGCUGGUUCACAGGUGGUGCAUGGUUGUCGU
rnacentral:rRNA from 1 species